UACGUAGGGUGCAAGCGUUAAUCGGAAUUACUGGGCGUAAAGCGUGCGCAGGCGGUUCGGAAAGAAAGAUGUGAAAUCCCAGAGCUUAACUUUGGAACUGCAUUUUUAACUACCGGGCUAGAGUAUGUCAGAGGGAGGUGGAAUUCCGCGUGUAGCAGUGAAAUGCGUAGAGAUCGGGAGGAACACCAGUGGCGAAGGCGGCCUUCUGGACCAAUACUGACGCUCAUGCACGAAAGCGUGGGGAGCAAACAGG
rnacentral:rRNA from 1 species